AACGAACGCUGGCGGCAUGCCUAACACAUGCAAGUCGAACGAGACCUUCGGGUCUAGUGGCGCACGGGUGCGUAACGCGUGGGAACCUGCCCUUAGGUUCGGAAUAACUCCCCGAAAGGGGUGCUAAUACCGGAUAAUGUCUUCGGACCAAAGAUUUAUCGCCUUUGGAUGGGCCCGCGUUGGAUUAGCUAGUUGGUAGGGUAAAAGCCUACCAAGGCGACGAUCCAUAGCUGGUCUGAGAGGAUGAUCAGCCACGCUGGGACUGAGACACGGCCCAGACUCCUACGGGAGGCAGCAGUGGGGAAUAUUGGACAAUGGGCGAAAGCCUGAUCCAGCAAUGCCGCGUGAGUGAUGAAGGCCCUAGGGUUGUAAAGCUCUUUUACCCGGGAUGAUAAUGACAGUACCGGGAGAAUAAGCUCCGGCUAACUCCGUG
rnacentral:rRNA from 1 species